GAGGGUGUUUUGCUGGAGACCUCUCCCUCCUGGAGGCCUUCUGAAGGCCCUCCAGUGGCACUGCACACAUGGGUAUGCAAUAGAUUUGAACCUGGAGCUCGAAGUGCUCCCCUCCAGCAGCAGCAGCAGCAGGGCUGCAGACAAUUUUGUGGAGCUGAGCAGGGCGGCAAUGAAUACUGCAAUGUUCUGCAGUGACCCCUCGGAGCCAUCUGGAGGUGGCGUGGGCCCACAGGAGGCAGAGGAGGCUCUGCAACGCAAAGAUUUACUUUCCAUGCUGUUACCAUCCCUUUUGCCUCUGCAUAAGAAGCAUGCAGAUAUCUGCUGUAGUUUGGCAGACUCACCCACAAUUCAUUGAAGACUGUGCUGUAUGAAAAUACAGGAAGAUUGGAGUGGGAGUACUGGAAGAUGAUGGAAGAGAACACUGCUGAAUGAAGGUGCUCAAACAAAUACUACAAGAACUACCCAUCCAACAGCAAUGGAGAGAGGAACGUGGAGGAGAAAACAGUAGUUCUUCCUUCUGGAUGGCCGUGUGGCCUUCUGGAUGUGUUGGAAAGCUGAGUGCUCUGACAUGCUGGCUUUUUACUUUGACCAUAUUCACAUCCAGGUGUGUGAUGAUUUUCAUGCUUAUGUAUGGGAAGCAGAGACAGAGUUGGUCCUGAUGGAAGAAGAGACUCUUGUAGCUGACAGCUGGCAGUGCUGUCCCCAGUACAGCAAUUUAGGGAUCAGCAGCUGGCUGAUGAGAUUGAAGGUCAAAGCCCGAACAGUCUGGUCUGAAAGAAGAAAACAACAGAGCUGCAAAGUUAGUGAUACAGUGCCUGUCCCAUGUGCACACAUUCAAUGUUAUGGAUUUUGUUACAAAAAUUAGAAUGCAGAAACAUGAAAAUGCAAUGUGAGACAUUUAAGAGGUGAAUGAGGAGAUGCUUAUUCCUUCUUUCCUCCCACAUCGUCUCAGCCCAAAUACGCAGGUUUUUGUCAAGUUGUCUGAUAACUUUUCAGGCACAGCCUUACUACUUUCCACAAAAUGUGAAUGGAAGUUGGUGGAUAUAUUGCAUGGGGAGACAAGUUGGAAGUGGAACUGGCUGGAUUAGCCUUGGACAAAAGCAUGUCUGUUAAAGGAUAACUUUCUGAAUGCAACAAUGCCAGCAGAGUGGCACUUGUGUUCACCAGCACUGGACAUGUGGAAAUCAGAGUGUCUGUGUGUAACAGACAGGUGUUAAAGCACAGUUGAUGCUAAACUUGGGCUCACAGUUUUGUAUGUACUGAGUGCAGUGUGGGGCACUGAUUAUUGCACAGUGAGAAUUGGAUCUGAAGAAGUAAUAAUUUUCUCCAUGGUUUUUGUCUGAAACAAAUGAAAGUUAUCAUAGAAAUAUAUCACUGGAGACAUUCCUGGAAAGAACAUUCUGUGCAAUUAUUUGUGCCUGCUAGAGGCAUAACAAAAUGUAAAGGCUGAAAACUCAAGCUGGGAAAAUGCACUUCAGGAUCAUGACGUGGGUUUUCAGUAGUGCAAUGCUCUCCGUGGGCAUGGGCUAUUGAGAGAAGCAGUCAACUUCAGCACUGCAGAUGAAAGGAUUCAGGACUGGAAGCUUCUAUAAAAAAAAAAAAAAUUGUCUGAGUCCAUGAGCAGUUACUGAACUUGCUGACAAGUAUAUAUGCACAGCAAGGCAUACUAAGUAAUGGCCCCUAUUUGUUCCCAUGGAAACUGGAACAGAUUAAAAGAGCACAAUAACACAAUCUGAAAGAGCAAGUUCUCAGCUCUAAAUCACUGUUUUUCAACAUAGUUAUCACUGUUAACUCUGCAUUUUCACCAGUAAUGAACAAGGUUCUGCAUGCUGUGCUCAUAAAUAUCUGCAUGGCCAUCCACAGCAUCUUAUUUUUCACAUUGCUGUCACCACCCAUGAAAUACAGCACCCGCUGUCUCCUUGUGCCAACAGCCACACUUAGGGCUCCAUAAACACUCAGUGAAUGUCAAUAAAUGUCAAUGGGUGCAUAUUUUUCCUCACAGGGGAAUUUGGUUCCACCCUUUGCUCCAUCCCCACUUCCACGAGGCACUGUUCUGUCAGACCGCCCCUCUGCUGCCCUCUGUUACACAGCACCAAAUGAAUACUGGCAGGAACAUCCAACCCCUGCUGCCAUACCACCUCCAUCCACCUCUGAUGGCAAUGGCCAACAUUGUAAAAUAGGAGGCACUAUUUUUGAAGCAGCCCUCGUAAUGUUCUUCAUUGCAGGUAUUACUGAGCAAAAUUGUGUCUGCUUGUGUUUCAGGUCAGGUUAGAUGACAGUGGCCUUCUCUAGCCUUGGUUGUGACAGAGACAGUGAGGGUUUGCAAGAGACAAAACCACAAAAAUCAGCUGUUUGAGCAGUGACCAUUCCCUUGUUAGGGGCAGGAUUGCACCACAGUGGUUGGACAUGCGUAGAGCUUACGGUAGGUUGUGCAGCACUGUGAGCUGAAAGGCCAGUUAGCACACUCAAUAUUGGUUGCUGUAAAAGAGCACUAAUGAGUGUGCUAAUUAUGUAGCAGCUUGCAGUGACACACACAUAGAAAAUUGUGAUGAUUGGAUGUUGAAAUAUUCCUUCACAUGUUUUUAUUUUGGUAAAAGUUCAAUUAGUUUGAUGCAAUUUACCUUGUGCUGUCCUGUUCACUGAAGAUUGACUAUAGCGACUACCCAUGGAGACUCAGAGGGCCGUGAUGACCCAGGUGACUCAGACUUCUUGCUGUGUUAGAAGCAAAUUCUGCACAACCGAACUCUCCUUUCUGAGGCCAGCAUGGUUGGGUAGCCAACCACAGACAAAGGCCAUUAAUGCACAGAGAGACAUACAAGAUUAUAAAACUCACAGUCUUCAGCUAGGAGCCUUAGGAAGAACAGAAGUUUCCCUUAUCUUAUGUGUUAAUUUGUAUCUGCAUGUAUUGGAGCCAAUAGAAACGAUGUAUUAGUCAUUCUCAAAACAAAAUUGUAUAAGUAAGCCAUUUCCCCCCCCCCAAGUAUUUCAUUAUCUGGAACACUGCAGUCAUUUUUAUCUGUUUUUAGAAUUCAUUUGUCAGUGUCUUUCAAGAACUCUUGCCUUGAUGCACUUUGUCCAGAGUGGGCUACCCAGUACUGCACUUAGAUAGGAAAGGAGAAGUGAGAAGAAGAAAGGGAGUUUGGAAAUGCAAAGAGCUCACAAAGUCACCCAUUAAUCCGUUUACACGUAGAAGUGAACUUCACAAUGUGAUCUAAAUGGCUGCUGGGGAUUUCAGGCACUCCCAUUAAGAGAAGAUUAUGAUUCCACUGUCUUACUGUGUAAGAGGUAAUGUAGGAAAGGCUGAGCAGCAGCUGGAUGUUCAAACUGAGGGUUUUCUUUAACCAUUUCAGCACGUUUCCUUGAAGCCUUUAGUCUCAUCCAUUUGGAUGGGCAGCAGAGGAAAUUUUGUUUAUGGUUAGGCUCGUUCCAGCCAUGAAAUUAACAGAAUAAGUACAGAUAAAAGUAGAAAGAUUAGGGAGAUUUUAAUUUGGUACAGGCAUUCUUAAAUGUUUAUUUGCUUUUUGGUCUUGGAACUUGCCCCAUCACUUAAUGAAUAAGAAUGCUCCAUAGCAGCUGCAAAGAACAGCGGUGAGAUGAAGGCAGUAUGAAUUGAGUGGCCUGGGACAAAUAGUAAAGUUAGGAGCAUUAACAAAAUCAUUUUUGACAACUGAUGUAAACUGAAAGCUGCAGAUCAUACAAGAAGGAAGGGUGAGAGGUACCAGGAGGCAGUCACUGCUUUGUGUUUUAUUUCCAUAACAAAACUGACUUAAAUGAUGCCAUGCAGUUGGUGACAACAUAGCCUUCCUAAAGAUCUGUAAAGCAGAGCUCCCUCAUCCUUGGCAUCUCAUCAUCUUGGUGAAGAUGAGUGAGUAAAACAUAUUCUCCACACCUGUGAAUGAUUUCCACAGCUGACUCUGAAGCAGUGGUAUGCUCUAAUUUCCAGAAGUUGGGAGAGCUGCAGCCUAAGGCCACUUCUCCGCAUCCCUGCAUGACCUCGUGCUGCAGCACUGCCAUCCUCAGGGGGCACCCGGGGUCCCUCACACUGAGCUGUUGUGCUGCACCUCCUUAUGUCACCCUGUGACCAUUUCAGCAGAUGUGAAGUUAGGAGAGCACCUGAGGGUUUUAUUUAUCCUGGACAAUGGCUGAGUUAAGCAGACGUUGGUAUCUGUGCCUUGAAAUGAGUGGGAUUAAUGAAUGUCUACAGUUUCCACUGUUAAGAUUGAAGAAGAAAUUCUUAAGGCCUUCGCUGCCCACAGAAUGUACAGACAUUCCUUUUUUUGGCUCUUUUUCUCCCGUGUUUCCCAAAAUUCCCAUAGAACCCAAGGAGAGCAUUGGUACAGCAUUGUUUUUAUAGCACUCUGGGUUCGCAGCAUUCUAAAACACAUCAGUGACUCAUCUGAAGUUUUUGAUUACAACUUCUUGCCUCAGUGCUUACAUUCACUUCUUAAAUAUUGACGGUGUCCUGAAAAAGUCGUGUUACCAAGGAGAAAGUAGCAAUGGUUUAUCAGAACACACAGUGCUUGAUAACCCCUGCAGAAGGGUAGAACUUUGAUUCACAGCUACUUUAUUUCUGCUUUAUGCCAACUUAAUUAUAUCCUAAACGGGGGACAAAAGGACCUUUUCCCACCUUUGCUAUUGUGUCACUCUUUCACUCUGCUGACACACCAAGGCUUCCCAGAUCUCCAUUCUGCUCCGUUCCAGGGGAUGUGUUACCUCAAAUCACUUACAGCAUGUUUAGCCAGUAGGAGUUUGUGAAUUGUUUUAUCAUUCUUGCUGGAAAAUUUGUUGAAUUGUUGAUAUCACUCCUAAUAGUUUCCAGCUUUGUGUCAUUUAUGUUCAUGUGAGUUGCUUUUUUUUUUCUUUUUUUUUUUUUUUUUUAAUUUAUUGAACACAUUCAUCAGGCAUUAUUUAUGGAGUUUGAUGUUAUUACAGCCAUGAUUGUGAGAUGUGAUAUUUUCCUGGUGUUUCAUUUUAUUAUCCUUUGCAUACACUGUAAAGACUCAGCUCUGCCCAUCAAACAACUUUUGCUUUGGUUUUCAGUCAGGUUAACAGUCUCUUGUUUUUAACACCAUCUUUUCCAAGAAACCAGCAAAGGUUACCUGACUGUUUUUCACAUCCUCUCAGGUAUUUCAGUGAGCUCUCCUUGUGCUGCUGAUUGCUUUCCUUUGCAAAUCAGAGCCUUUUUCAGCUUGACUGUAUAAAGGACUCUCCAAGUGCACCUUUGGGUGCUUAUGGAAACAUUGUCAGCUAGGAGCAGAUGACUGGAAAUUAGCUCAAGGCUCCAUAUUUUGAGAUCAGCAGUCACAGAAUAAUGACGGUAUUUUCCUUCAUGUGUUUAAGAGUCAUGGAUUACUCCCCCUGCUUUACAGCUGGACCGAGCAGCGUGGCUCCAGUAGACUGUGGAGGAGCUGCAUUACAAGUCUUAACUCUGUUGAGUGCUUGGAAACUAAUCAGGGAGUAUGCUGUUACCUCGCAGGUCCUCAGAAUUUUGACUGUGAUUUGCAAUUCCUGUGACGAUUUGCAGACUUGCCCAGCACCAUCUGAGCAUUAUCUAAAGCAGUCACACCCUGAGACUCUUUGAGAUCUUCCUUGGGAAAACCAGAGCCCAGUUCUGUGCCUGACCACUCUUUCAGAGAAGAAAAUUUUCCCAAUAUCUAACCUGAACCUCUCCUGGUGCAUCUAGAUGCCUUUCCCUCUCAUCCCAUCACCACAUACACAGGAGAAGAGAAUGACCCCCACCUCACCACAGUAAGGUCUCCCCUGAGCCUUCUCUUCUCCAGACUGAACAAUCCCAGUUCCCUCAGCUGCUCCAGACACCUCCCCAUGUUGGCCAAAGCCCCACCCAGUUCACUGAUAGGGUACCCACACUGCUCUGGCCAUCCUAUGCCAGUGUCUCAUUGUUCUCAAGGUGAAGAAUUUCUUCCAAAGUCUUGAAUUUCUUUUACAUCUGCCUGUGUACAAGCAGGUGACAUCAUCUGGUGGAUGGAUCCAUUAGUGAUUCAGGCAGCUGGAAGCCAAAUUUGAACUUUUCUGCUGUUUUCCAUCCAAAAACCACAGUAUGCUUGAAAAAAGAAAAAAAAAUGUUGUAAAUAAAGACUCUUAAUUGCUACUAGAGCAAAAGGAGUAAUGGAUAUUUUCUACAGAUGGAAAUAAUACAUAAAGCAACACAUGCAGCAUUUGUUAGUAUUACAAAAGUGAGGACAUACAAAAGAAGCACAGAAUGGUUGACAUUGGAUGGAGCCCAUGGAGAUUGCUUAGUCCAGACCCCCUGCAUGAAGGCAGGAGCAGCUACAGCAGGCUGUCCAGCUGUGCCUGGGUGACUGCUGGCUGUGUCCAAGGAUGAAGACUCCACAGCCUCUAAGGAAUCUGUCACAGCACUUGACUGUACCUAUGAGGAAAAAAAAAUAACUUAGGCCUAAAUGGUAUAUCCUGUAUUUUGGUUUGUGACCCAAAACUACAUUAGAUUUAAGCACGUGUCUUCUAUUCAUGUUCAGUUAUUGAAGACAAGAUGACAACAAAUAGCAGCACAUUGCCCUGACUCCUCGCCCUAUGGCACAAGCACCACUGUCACCGCUACUAACAUCAGAGAUGAGUUCAUAGCAGACAUUUCAUAAGACAUCUGAUGCAGAAUGCAAGCUGCUAAACACUGAUGUUCUCAGGUCUCUGAAACUGAGGUACAAAGGCUGUAUGUGUGUUUGAAAAGCAAACAAACAACAGAGACAGAAAGAUGUAUAGGCUAACAAACUCAACACAUUGCUGCAACUGUUUCAAGAGCUUUAUUUAUUACAAGCACUUUGGAAGGAAGGACAAAAGCAUAUGCCAGAAAAUGAUUAAAGAGUGAACUGGGGAAGUUUAGACUCCUUCGGAAUAAAUCUAAGUAAUGGACAGCAUUUAUUAUGUCUGUUUAAAAGCAAAGUAAUAAGGACAAAGGGUAAAUCUACACUAGCAAUUAGCUAUGAAUUCUUUUUUUGUGUCUAUGCCACCCAGCUACAGUCAUGUCAGCUUUCUAUAUUCACUUGCCAGAAAAAGAGCUGUGCAAAACCAUGACUUUUGUUCAGGCAGGAGGUAGAUAUAUGCUUCAGCUGCUGUCCACAGCUGCACACAAUCAAUAUGCACCAGGCCUGCAAAUACAGAGAGAUCUUCCCCCAAAAAAUCUUACUCCAGGCUGAAUUCCAAUUCCUUACUAAGAUAUCUUUUUUUUUUUUUUUUUUUUUCCCCCCACUGGCAUCAGUUUUCCCAAAUGCUGACCCCAAAUUCCCCUUCUGUCUACCUGGAAACCUGGCUGGUAGACCCACACUGGGCAUUUAACCCCAUAUUUCCUUGCAGUCUGCGAGUCUGUACUUGGCUCAACUGUUCCAGCUGAGCUCCUUCUAUUGCAGUGUACCUGGGUACUUACUUCCAUUGUGCUGCCUGGAGAACAUGGGGCUCCCUGAUCAGUGCUUGAAGGAACGCCACACAGCCCCUGAGCCUGGCCAUAGAAUCAUAGAAUCACAGAAUCACCAAGGUUGGAAAAGACAAGAUCAUCCAGUCCAACCAUCCACCCACCACCAGCAGCUCUCACUAAACCACGUCCCUCAACACAGCGUGUACAGCAGCUCCAGUAGCUGCCACAGCACACCAUCCAAAUGACCUCUUAGAUAUGGGUGUGUUCUGCUGGAGUGCAGAGUGGAGACACAUCACUGUCCUGAAGGGAAGGGCACAAACUGGAGGUGCAGUGGUGCUCAGGAUGUGUCCUUGCUGUGCAGAGUCUGACAAGUAUUUAUCAGUGCUCCACCACCUCAGUCCAUUUUGAUUUCCUUCCUUACAUCAAUUCUUUGCAUCAAAAGGAGGAACUAUACAUUCACACACCAUUUUACACUGCAAAAAACAUAACUUGUCUUGUGUUGUUGUAGUUCAUGGCAAUAUUCCAGGCUUCCAGGUAAAUGUUUCAUCAUUGGAUCUCAAAGAUAGUUAAUAGUCAACAGUGAAUAAGUUCUGCCAUUGCAAUAUUCUGCUCAGAUGUUGGCAAAGCUACGCACAUCUGAUUGUUUUCAUGCAAAUGCUCUCCUUUACCACAGAAGUUUGUUGCUGUAAAGAGAAGAAAUAAUUGAUGCUGGGAUGCAAAAUCCCCUCAAGUGAAGGCAUUGCACACUGGGAAAAUUACAUGUCCUGCCCUGCGGCCUUGCUGUGACCGCACGCUGCCUUGACAGUGAUCACUGGCUGGAACGAUGUGCUUCGCCAAGGUUGUCUUUAUUUAGACAAGGCUGCUGCUUUCUGAACUGCUUGCGGGAACAGAGGGGUCAUGCAGUAACCACUCUGCACCUCCUGUGUCAGAGGACUGUGGCGCACUCAGGGGAACACGCCUUUGGUAUUUUUCUAUGUUCUAACAGGGAAAACGGGGUAUUUGGAAUAAAGCAGCAAUGAAACAGACAGUAAGGUGGGCUUUUCUUUGAGUAUAACCCCAGAUUCUGGUCAGUCCAGCCUGAUCCCAGACAGAUAGCCAUGGCAGCAGCCUGAGCUCAGGCAUGGCUUCAUCUUCCUGCCUUUCCUGUAUUAAAGAACAUGGCAGCUUGCACUACAAAUAAUGUAUCUGUGCUGUUUACUACCACUGCCAGCAUUCCAGGAGAGCCAGAAGGGUCUGACACAGAUCGGCCUCUGGUUGUUGCCACAGCACCUGCGGAUGGUGUUUGUACUGAGGUCACAUUCAGAUGCAAGAAAGGUUACAAGCUGCCAAUAAUAAGAGUAACAAAAUACAGAUUUCCUCAGACCAGUGGCAAAGCCAGGAAUGGAGCUCAGGUUACUGCCUGCUAAACUUACAGCCUGUCCCAAAUUUAUACCAGAUGAGUGUAACAGGUUGGCAUGGAGUUAGUGCAAUUAAAUUCCAUACAUGUGGGUAACCCUUUGUUUAGUUACCAAGCCUAAACUCAAGAGCUGGGGUAGGAAACAAAGUGCAUAUGAUGCAAUGUGUAUUUUUUUAAAACUGGAAAACCAAAUUCAGGGUUGUGAGCCUGAAUCUCAGUUAGUAUAGGCUGUGAAUUCUGAUGAGUCUGUGCAGAACAACAGGAUCUGAGCGUGGGUGUUGGUUUCAUAUCCCAACACAGAAGAUUUGGGAUGAAUAUUUCAUAAGUUCACAAAGGUCCUGAGGAAUAUGCAUGAUAAAAAAAGUACUGGUUAGUUUGAAAGAGGUUAACAGCUUUCUAAAUAGAAUAAAGUAGAUAUCAUGGGGCUCUCAGCUAGAUAAAUGCAGGCAUAUUUCCUAAUUUCUCUGCUGCAAAACAGUCCUCUACUUCUCGCUGAGUCUUUUCCUUUUAUAAGGUGAGGACUGGAGGACUCAGACAAAACAGAUGAUGUUUGGUCAGAUGAGGGUUUAAAUCUGGCAGCUAAUGUUGCCCAUAGCACUGCCUGCGCUGAAGAGAGAGAAAUUGUGCAGUAGGCAGGUAAUUCAUAACCCUGGAGAGGUAUCUGAAUAACAGGACAGAAUUGCUCUGUUACAGCUCCAGCCCCUGCAGUGAAAUCCAUCUGCAUGCAUUGCACCCAACCUGUUGGUCACAUCCAUGAGUGCCCCUGGCACAUACAGCCUUCCUACCACAUUGGUGUAGUUCAUGUGAUACACACUCAUACUGAGCAAUCCAUGAAUGGGUCUGUACAGCCGUCUAAGAGGGACAGUGUUACAGUCAUGUGGUCAUAAUAAAUCAUAAAUCUGUGCCACCCCUUUAACAAAUGAUUUCCCCAUCUACAUGCUAAAGUUGAGGUACAAAUUUUUUUUUAUUUUUUUUUUUGCCAAUAUCUUUGCUGAAAUCGAGUGUUUGGAUGGAUUAUGUGCAUGACUUUCCUUUUAAAUACCACUAAACUGAUGUUUGUGAUGUGCUUGAUUGACUGUUAAUGAAGGAUAAACUGGGGUUACAAACACAACUCUGUGUUGCCUCAACUCUUACUCUGCCCUGGAGUCAAUUCUUAUCUGUGUGGCUGCAUUUGGGUAUGGGAGAAAACUUCAAAUACUCAUAAUCAGAAAAAAAAAAAAAAAAAGUUCUCUAAUAUUCAAAGUCUUUAAUAUAGGCUUUGCUGGAACAUCAUUUGAAAAGUGUAAUUCCACAUUUCACAUAAACCAUCACAGUAACUCUUGGAAUCAGAAGCAGAGAGGCUGAUCCUCCCUUCAUCUGCACAGCCCUCACCUCUGCUGUCAUUAGCAGGUUCUCCAACCACUACCAAUGCAGGUGGUUUUUUGUUCACUAAACUUCCAGAAUGUAACUUCAUGGCCCACACAGGAGCAAUCCUUCUCUACCUGAACACUUAGACAGUGAAAAGAUAUCCACGUCUGCCUGUGCAUGGACACAGAUGUGCAAACAAAAUAACCAUCUUGAGUUUUAUUUCCUUACAAAAAUUUAAGAAGUCAGGCUCAAAGAAGAGGAGGAAGAGGAAAUACUGCUUGGGCUUCCCAGUCAGUCAUUUGUGAAAUAAACAAACACGGAAUCGAUUUGUUUUGUAUUUCAGCAUGAAAACAGACUGAAAUCUGCGUGGGAGUUGAAAUCAAAGCAUAAAUAGAUGUAAAAAAAAAAAAAAAAAUCCAGUGGAGGAUCUAAGGGCAAAAAGCCACCUGGGAAGGGCCAGGAUGACCCCACCAGGCUGUCCCGUGCGGUGGGUACCCUCUGGCUGCUAUGCAUGGAGGUCCCCAAAGAUCUGAACCAAAGGCUCCGAGGGCAGCCCUUCCUCCAGCAGCACCGGGAGGAGCAGGCAGAGCUCCCAGAGCUGGCAGAACAGCACCUGGAGCAGAAGCUGAGCAUGAAGCUGGCCAGCUGGGAAAUGAGCUAAUGAGGUGCAGAUGGUAUGAUUCUUAGAGCACAAAGUGCAGGUCAUGGCUGCUGUUGCUCUCCUGGGAAGCUGGAAAGAAGGUGGUUCUGCUGCUCUGUUUCUCCUGCUGGUAUUUUGCCCAGCUAGCUGUGUGCUACAAAUGAGCUGGUGCUCUCUAACAGCACUAGGAAUGGCCUUUGUUUGCCAUUAAUGUUAAAAAGAGAUCAGCUAUUUACAGACGGCUUGGUAGUUUUUCUUUCCUGAAUGCUUCCUUGUGUCUUGAGUUCAUAGUGCUGCUGGAGCACACUAGGAAGGGUGCCUUUCUGCAACAUCCAUGUGCUGCAAGUGAGGUUCAGGCAGCUCAGCCCAAACCUGGCUCACACCAUCCAGCUGCCAGCCUUGGCAUUCAGCUUGUAGAAGGCUUUGACAAGGUAUUUAUUUUAUUUUUCCUCUCUUAGUUCUUAUUUAAAUCUUUUUGCUUUUCAAUGUAUUUGCACAGAAAAAAUGCAUAUUGUAUCUAAGGUCACUAAGUUUUAUGUCAGUUUGAAACAGAACUUAAGCUUGUGAGGUGCAAGAAAUGACUCAUCUUGUUAGAAAGUCCUGAAAAGUUUCCUGGAUGACUUAAUAAAUGGUAAAGAUAAACAUGCAUUCAGAAAACAGACACUGCUUUAACUGACUAGGCUGUGUGCAGUGGGAGGCAUGGUGCAAAAGGCAGCUGCAGGUCCUGUCUCCUGCAGAGGUUCUCUGCCUACACUGUGUUCUCAACUCUGUUCUAGGACCUCAGCGAAUCCUGUUUGCAAAUUGCUGACCCUCUAAAUUGCCCAUACAUUGAUGAGAUAAAGAGAAGAUCCCAGUCUGGGUGGGGUGAAGGCCAAGGACAGCAUGCAGCACUAGCAGUGCUGAUUUGCUGGCACAGAAAAGUGUCUUCAGAAAGUCCAGAUCUCACAGAAAAACUUCCAGAGUGAAUUAAGCCUCAGAAUACCAAAAAGUCGCCUCAGUAAUUGCUAAGCACGCCCAGUUAUUCACACAAUGUUCGCUAGUUCCUCUAUUUAAUUGGAUUCUUGAGCAGAAUUUCAAUUGCAUCUCUUCAUUUUUCAAGCACAAAGAAAUAGUUUUAAACUCUGUAAAUAUCAGAAAGGAUUGUUAUCUUUUACACACAUCCAAGCAGACCGGUUCCUGUAUUAACACUAAAAAGAAACCAAAACCCAGACAGAGAAACGUGCUGGAAUAAUAAGAGGUAAUCUUCAGACUGUCUACUGGAUGACAAUUGAAGAGCCCAAAGCCACUUGUCACAUACAGCCAGCAUGAAGCAUACCUCAUGGAGCAGCAUUUGGAGCGUGGGCAUUGCUGAGCUCUCACCUGGGUCACUCAUUUUAAUCUUAAUGGGAAAAAAAAAACAACACUUGAUGUGCUAGAAAUCUAAUGGAGAUACUGCAGCCCAAUAGGAAGAGAACCUCCAUCUCUCAGCACCCCUCAGACUAUGAGGCACCUUGUCUGACCUGCACAUCCCUUUGGACAUGUCUGAGUCUGGUCCUGGGCAAGUCAGGCUGACCCAGCCCAAGGAACAAGGCACUGAAAUCCACAAAUCAAGCAGCAUCUAUAUAGGCUUGUGCUGAUGGUGGUGUUGGUUCUGCUGGUGAAGAGCAGUUCAGUUGAGCUCAUGUUCAGCACACAGCACAGACUGAAGGUAUACAGAGAUCAGCUGUGAGGCAGAGCAUGAACAGCGGUAACUAGUUUGGAAUGGACUGCUCAGUUGGUUUGUUUCUACUUUAUUUUGCUUUGCUAACAGCAUUUAGGACAUUGUCUAAUGGAGCAGGAAAACAAAUACCCCUGAUGAGCUGGUAUGAUUGGCACUAGUAAAGAGGGGAGAAGCACAAAAUCAUUGGCUAAAUCUCUUGACUUUCCAGAAGACAGUACUAACAAGCUUGUCAGACAGCUGACAGAGAUCCUGACAUGAGGGAAAUCCAUUUUCCUUUUCAG
ensembl:lncRNA